rnacentral:rRNA from 1 species
CAUGGAAGUCGACGCGCGCCCUUGCGCGCGUGGCGUACGGCUCAGUAACGCGUGGUUAACCUGCCCUCGCGAUGGGGAUAACCUCGGGAAACUGAGGAUAAUCCUCAAUAGGCGAUUGGAUCUGGAAGGACCUUUCGCCAAAAGGGACAGGGCGAAUGGGCUCUGUCUGCGCGAGGAUGGGACUGCGUCCCAUCAGGCAGUUGGUGGGGUAAUGGCCCACCAAACCUAUAACGGGUACGGGCCGUGAGAGCGGGAGCCCGGAGAUGGGCACUGAGACAAGGGCCCAGGCUCUACGGAGCGCACCAAGCGCGAAACCUUCGCAAUGCGGGAAACCGUGGCGGGGCCAUCCCGAGUGCAGGCUGCUGAGGUCUGCUUUUGCCCAGUGUAAGAAGCUGGGCGAAUAAGUGGGGGGCAAGACUGGUGUCAGCCGCCGCGGUAAUACCAGCUCCACGAGUGGUCAGGACGGUUAUUGGGCCUAAAGCGUCCGUAGCCGGCCCGGUAAGUUUAUGGUGAAAUCCGGCAUCUCAAGUGUCGGAGCGCUGUAAAUACUGCCGGGCUAGGGAGCGGGAGAGGCCGAGGGUACCUCCGGGGUAGGGGCGAAAUCCUAUAAUCCCGGAGUGACGACCAGUGGCGAAAGCGCUCGGCUAGAACGCGUCCGACGGUGAGGGACGAAAGCUGGG